CAAUAGCGUAUAUUAACGUUGUUGCAGUUAAAAAGCUCGUAGUUGGAUUUCUGGAGGGAGCGUCGGCCCGUAUUUACGAGUGCGUGACGUCUCUGUCCAUCCUUGCGGGAAGGCACGGCAUUGAUUUGUUGUGUCGGAUCGCAUCAUUUACUGUGAAAAAAUUAGAGUGUUCAAAGCAGGCUUUCGCUUGAAUACAUUAGCAUGGAAUAAUAAGAUAGGACUUUGGUGCUAUUUUGUUGGUUGAGCCUAAAGUAAUGAUUAAUAGGGAUAGUUGGGGGCACCUGUAUUGCGUUGUCAGAGGUGAAAUUCUUGGAUUUACGCAAGACAAACAGCUGCGAAAGCGUCUGCCAAGGAUGUCUUCAUUAA
rnacentral:rRNA from 1 species